UACGUAGGGUGCAAGCGUUAAUCGGAAUUACUGGGCGUAAAGCGUGCGCAGGCGGUUCGUUGUGUCGGUGGUGAAAGCCCCGGGCUUAACCUGGGAACGGCCAUGGAAACUGGCGAACUGGAGUGUGGCAGAGGGAUGCGGAAUUCCAGGUGUAGCGGUGAAAUGCGUAGAUAUCUGGAGGAACACCGGUGGCGAAGGCGGCAUCCUGGACCAACACUGACACUGAGGAGCGAAAGCCAGGGGAGCAAACGGG
rnacentral:rRNA from 1 species